rnacentral:rRNA from 1 species
UACGGAGGGAGCUAGCGUUGUUCGGAAUUACUGGGCGUAAAGCGCGCGUAGGCGGCUUUGUAAGUUAGAGGUGAAAGCCCGGAGCUCAACUCCGGAACUGCCUUUAAGACUGCAUCGCUUGAAUCCAGGAGAGGUGAGUGGAAUUCCAGGUGUAGCGGUGAAAUGCGUAGAUAUCUGGAGGAACACCGGUGGCGAAGGCGGCGUCCUGGACCAACACUGACACUGAUGAGCGAAAGCCAGGGGAGCAAACGGG